rnacentral:rRNA from 1 species
ACGUAGGAGGCAAGCGUUAUCCGGAGUUACUGGGCGUAAAGGGCGUGCAGGCGGUUGGCUAAGUUCGUUGUGAAAUCCCCGGGCUUAACCUGGGAAUGGCGUUUUGAACUGGCAGUCUAGAGUGCGUCAGAGGGGGGUGGAAUUCCACGUGUAGCAGUGAAAUGCGUAGAGAUGUGGAGGAACACCGAUGGCGAAGGCAGCCCCCUGGGAUGACACUGACGCUCAUGUACGAAAGCGUGGGUAGCAAACAG